rnacentral:tRNA from 1 species
UAGCUCAGUUGGUAGAGCAUGGUGUUUGCAACGCCAGGGUUGUGGGUUCGAUUCUCAU